rfam:Calocera viscosa TTFC12733 unplaced genomic scaffold CALVIscaffold_6, whole genome shotgun sequence.
GACAUGUUGGCGCAGUGGUUAGCGCGUCGGCGCGUGAUCAGUCACGCGCCGGAGGCCAGGGGUUCGAAUCCCGUACAUGUCU